rnacentral:lncRNA from 1 species
AGGUCAUUUCGGUUGCGCCUCGCCGCAUUUGUUGGCUGAAUGAUGUGUAAAUGAUUGAUGACUCACAAUGCCUCAGACGACAGCUCUCCGAUUAAAGAAACGGCUAAGAGUAAAGUAGACUUGAUAUUGACAUUUCCAUGUAGAAUCGCUGACGGCCCACCACUCCGAUUAAAGGCCGGAACUGCUAAGAACAAAGAGGCAUGCCGCAGAAGAGAAGCAGGAGCGGAGGAUCGAGGUAGAGGGAGCAUGAUAUACGCACGCCGAUUCGUCUCGGGUGACUUCCAAGACAAACCAUCGUAACCGACGGUUACAGUACUUUAUACUGAUAUUCCACGUGUUUUUAGAAAAAUUUGUUGUAUUUUAUACUAAUCUUUUAUUGUAAGUUCAGUCCCAUAUGUAUGAGCAUGACUGUGGUCUCGCGUUUUAUGUCUACGCCUGCGGCCCGUUGUCAGAACAACUAGCACUAGAACUAGAACAACUAGCACUAGAACUAGAACAACUGGCUAUAGAACCAUAGCAACUAGUUCUAGAACUAGAACAAGUAGCACUAGAACAACUAGCAAUAGAACUAGAGCAACUAGCUAUAGAACUAGAACAACUAGCUCUGGAACUAGAACAAAUAGCACUAGAACUAGAGCAACUAGCUCUGGAACUAGAACAACUAGCUCUAUAACUAGAGCAAGUAACACCCUGUUUGUAAUCCCAUGCAUGUGCGUUCACGAUUGAAAUGCUUUCAAAUAAAUAUACUCCAAAUGAAACGCCCGCGGCUUCUCUUUAUAUGGUGUUAAUUAUUCAAAGGCUAUCAACAAUACUUUUCUGAAAAAUCAUCAAAGAAAUUGUAACAUACACUGUUGAGAAGUUUGCGGUGCGGUGGUGAAUGUACCUCGCCCUUGUUGAUGACUCAUUGUUGUUGUCUGGCGGUGUU